rnacentral:sRNA from 1 species
UCCUAGCCCCGAUAGAAGUGGAAAUCCUUUUGUGCCGGGGUUCGGCACAAAAGAUUAGAAUGGAUAGCGGGAUUAGCU